GGCUGAGUGCCAUCCUGUGUUUCCUAGCAGGAGAAGCAUUCCUGGAGAGAGGCGGAUUCCAUGUGUGCCGGCAAAGUGUGUGCUGAGAUGAUGAGUCGCUGGAGACCAGGGUGGACUCUUCAGACCCAGGAUAGGCCUCUGGCAGCAGGAGAAGCAUUCCUGGAGAGAGGCGGAUUCCAUGUGUGCCGGCAAAGUGUGUGCUGAGAUGAUGAGUCGCUGGAGACCAGGGUGGACUCUUCAGACCCAGGAUAGGCCUCUGGCAGCAGGAGAAGCAUUCCUGGAGAGGCGGAUUCCAUGUGUGCCGGCAAAGUGUGUGCUGAGAUGAUGAGUAGCUGGAGACCAGGGUGGACUCUUCAGACCCAGGAUAGGCCUCUGGCAGGAGAAGCAUUCCUGGAGAGAGGCGGAUUCCAUGUGUGCCGGCAAAGUGUGUGCUGAGAUGAUGAGUCGCUGGAGACCAGGGUGGACUCUUCAGACCCAGGAUAGGCCUCUGGCAGGUAUGUGUCAAUGUUUUCUGCCCAUGGCACUCAGCCGGGUAUUUGAAUACAAUGUUAUCAGCGGAAUUAGUAGUCUCCGGAGAGGCUGCCCCGUGUCAACAAGCUUCACCCGGCCAGGGUUCACCCGUGAUGUAGCUCCCCAAUCAAUCACUACUCCCUAGUCCUUCCAGAUAGACUACCAGAUCUUCUCUGCCCUUGGGCAACCAGUACAGCCAGAGGCCUUCCCCCUUUGCCCUUUCGUCUCUAGACACUCUGUCAGGCACUCCAAGCUGUGAAGUGCCUGGGGGGGAGAAGGAAGAGAUUUCAGAGAAUGAACACAUACAGAGAGAGAGAGAGAGAGAGAGAGAGGCAGGAGAUGCUGAGUGGGGAUGUCUUGCGUACUGAUAUCCUGAGGAAAGUGGGAAAAUUGGACCCUGGCCUGCUGUGCCAAUGCCCUGAAGCAGUCUGCACCAGGGGCUCCCUUGUGCCUGCGUAGCCUUUCCCAGGGUGUGCUCAAAUCCUGUGGCCACUAGGUGUCCUGGGUCACAAUGGAGGGCCCUGUGUCAUCUGCCUGGCGGGCUGGAUCUCUGCCAUUGGCUGAGUCUUGUCACCAGGCCCAUCAUAAGCUGCGCCUACUCUUCCGGUGGGGAGACUGUCUCCAUGGUGAUGGCAAAGAAGCCUUAGUCCCGCCCACCGGGCCUUCACUUCACCUACCCGGCCUGCUGACCCUCACUCAGACCUCUGUGUUGAUCAAAAUGAAUGUCCGCCAGUGGCCAGGUGUCAGCAUCUGGGAUAAAGGAUUCGGGACCUUGCCUGAGGCAGAAGGCAGCCUAGGUCUGCGGGUCCCUGGAAGUCUAGUGAGUUGUGACGCUGCUGCCAGUGACAAAUGGUGACUCCCACACUCACAUAUCCCCUGGUGGCAGAAUGAUAGCGAUGGGUGGAGAAACAUGGCUCCUGAGCACACGUUGAAUGGGGCACCGGCCAAAGGCCAGGGCCAGGAGUGGACGUCGUGGAGCUGAAUGGCGAGCCAGUGAAGGGCCCAAGGAUUUCUCCUGUAUGUGGCAAACAGGUCAUCCGUGUCCCCACGUCCAUAAACCAUUGGACUGCCGGGGCCCAGGCUGCCAGGAUUUCGGCCUUGCCUUCGGAGCCCGGCCACAUACGCAGCCUUGCACCGGAGGCGGGGACAUGUAGACAGGAAAAAUUUGGAAAAUGGCAGUGUCUCCUCGAUUUCCCCGGCAUCGGCCUAUUUGAGCAGCAUGCUUUGUUUCCUAGUAGGAUAAGGCACUGACGGAGAAAGGCAGGAUUAUGUGUGCAGGAAAGGUGUGUGCUGAGAGGGUGACGACGUUGAGACCAGGUUGGGAUCUUUAGUCCCAGGAAAGGCCCCUGGCAGGUGUGGGUGAAUGUUCUCUGCCCAUCCGAGUUGGCGGGGGGAGGUUUUCAGCAAACAAAGCAGCAGCGGGAUUAUUCGUCGCCGGAGAGGUUGCAUCUGCCCACAAGCUCCACCUGGCCAGGGACCGCCCCUACUGUAUUGCCCAUGUCAAUCAACAGAAGCUAAGACCUUCCAGAGAGACUACCUGCUAUCGUCUACCCACGGGGAAGC